CACACACACACACACACACACACACACACACACACACACACACGGGCGCGCGCGCGCGCACUUGGCUUGUUGAAUAUAAGUUCUACAUUUAGAUUGUCAAUCUUCAAGUUAAGAUAACUGCAAGGUCAUCUUCUCAGCCAACCAGCCCCACACACGCCAGUCCUCGUCGAGACGUCAACGGACCGACUUUGUCGGCUCGACUGACGCCAGCCGAUAAAGCUGAUCCGUCGGCACCCUCUUCAUAGGCCGACACCAGCAAGGCCCAUGGUUUCCCAGCGGAGAGACAAAAUCUUAAACAACAAUAACAACAACAACCAGCCAGUUAUUUCGUCUCCACAAGUAUAACGCUAUCCGCAUCUAACACAGUAACCCAUAACGCAUGAAGUGAAAAUGUUCACAACCCUCCUAGAGAAAACGGUGUAAAGACUACAAACACACCGGAUGCCAGGCCCAGGCAGCCGCCCCCCAGACAUGUUCACCCGAGCAGCAGCGGCGCCAAGAUCCGGUAGUUUACCAUCACACGUGCGUCAUGGUGUCUGAGCCCUCACUCUCGUCUGUGGUACCACGCAUAGUCUGGCAGGGAGUAGACAGGAGGAGGAAGUCCUAGUAACCCCCUGCAUACCCCGACUGACGUGUCCGAGCACAGGCCUUGGCACAGCGAGGGCCGGCCAGUCAUCACCCGUCACCUCACUGGCAGCCACUCGCCGCCUCACGUGCCUGCCUGUCACACGCGAUAGCUGAGGCGUGGUUCUGCAUGAGGUUUGAAAUAAAUACUAAUGUAGGACACAUGAUUAUUAAUGUUAUUCGUUCUGAUAAAAUACUUAAGGAAAACAAUGUUACUCUGAGACACAACUGUUAAUGUGAUUCGUUGAUAAUAAUCAAGAAAUUUAAUGUGAACCUGAGGAGCCUGCUGGUCAUAAUCGAAACUCAUUAUCCUAAUACCUAAGGAAAUUAUUGAUACCAUAAGCCUAAGGCUCCUUAAAACAUUAAAAUCUGCUAAUAAUCCGGUUAGUCAUUAGAGGGUUCUUUUUUUGUCCCCGUCUGAGGCUAUGUCAGUGUAACACGAUGUAUACACACUGUUUUGAGUUUCUGAACUAAGUAGCUCCUAAUCGCUGCCAACACCUCGUGUUUUAAUAGACAUCGAUACUGAGUAAUGUUUUCUCCAAAUAGCUAACGAGCAGAUGUUAGGUGAGUCCACUCCCAUCCCUCGUGAUAAUGGAUCUUAGCGACGAGUACAGAGAGAGGGGAGAAAUGAAACUACUUAAAUAUAUAGAGUCCGUAAGGUUGUACAAACACAGAUGGCAGGGCAACACAUUUUUUUAUUUUUUUUUAUUUUUACAAGGGAGACAGCUCAAGGGCACACAAAAAAGGAAACAAUAAUAAAAAAAAAAAAAAGCCAGCUACUCGCUGUUCCCAAAAUGGUGAUGCACUUGUGCAGGCCAGUCAGACUAGCCCAUGAUAAACACUUCCUAUUUUUUGUAAGGAAGAUGGAACACGAGUAGCGUAACAAUCUCAAACAUCAAUUAAUAUCUUCUGAGUAGAAAAUAUUAUGUUAACUUUAUAUAAAGGCUGCUGAUUUCGUAUUCGUUAUGGUUUGGGCUCAGUGAGCUGGAUUGAAAGUUCAAAGGACUGAACAGGAGUGGAGCGAGGGACAAAAAGGGACGAGGGCGAGAGAGCGAUAGGGGUAGUGCAUGAGUGAUGAUGCUCAUGAUAAUAAAGUGUUAUUAAAAACUGUGUAUUUCACGACUGAGGCUUACCCUACUACAAAUUAUAGUGUGUUAGUAAGAAGAGAAAAUAAUAAAUGAGGCACCUCUGGUGUGUGAUCAACUGUGUGACUUAGCAAGUUACCAAAACUAACAUUAUCUAGGUGUG